rnacentral:tRNA from 1 species
GCCGCAGUAGCUCAGGGGUAGAGCAACUGAUUCGUAAUCAGUAGGUCGGAGGUUCAAUUCCCCCCUGCGGCACCA